rnacentral:rRNA from 1 species
CCCUAUAUCGCUGCCACUGGACGACGACGGCGCUGCGGAGACGCGGUGGCGGGCGGGGUUCGGUUUCGGGAACUUCCUGAGCGGCUCCUCCCUGCUGAGAGGUGGGGGUGGAGGGCUUUUGGUCGUUUCUUCUUCGCGUCAGCGAAGGGUUUCGGGUUCGAUCGGGUUCCGGACGGCGGCGACGCCGGCGGGUUUCGAGAGGGUUCGCGGAUCGGUGAUACGGUCCAACGCUGUUUGACAAUUUCAUCGGAAGGAAGAGAGACGUGGGCGGCGCAAGUCCUUGCGUCCGGAGUUCUUCGGUUUUGCUCGUUUUCGACUUCGGUCGGGGGCGGGGAGAGCGGGGGGCGUCGGAGAAGAGACUUAACGACGGUCACGUUUCUACACACCAUCGCGCUUUUUGCCGGUGACGACCUUUGGAACGCCGCGAGGCGGGCUGUGGGUUCGAGGCAUGGGAGCGCGAGUGUAUGGAACUCGUCAAGAGUAGCGCGGGGCGUCGUGAGGCGUCCCGAGCCAGAGUGACCAGUCGGGAUUGAUCUUCAAGUUCAACUUGAGAGUUUGAUCCUGGCUCAGAACGAACGCUGGCGGCAGGCUUAACACAUGCAAGUCGAGCGCCCCGCAAGGGGAGCGGCAGACGGGUGAGUAACGCGUGGGAACAUACCCCUUGGUUCGGAAUAACUCAGGGAAACUUGAGCUAAUACCGGAUACGGCAGAGAUGCGAAAGAUUUAUCGCCGAGGGAUUGGCCCGCGUCCGAUUAGCUAGUUGGUGAGGUAACGGCUCACCAAGGCGACGAUCGGUAGCUGGUCUGAGAGGAUGAUCAGCCACAUUGGGACUGAGACACGGCCCAAACUCCUACGGGAGGCAGCAGUGGGGAAUAUUGGACAAUGGGCGCAAGCCUGAUCCAGCCAUGCCGCGUGAGUGAUGACGGCCUUAGGGUUGUAAAGCUCUUUCGCCAGGGACGAUAAUGACGGUACCUGGAUAAGAAGCCCCGGCUAACUUCGUGCCAGCAGCCGCGGUAAUACGAAGGGGGCUAGCGUUGUUCGGAAUUACUGGGCGUAAAGCGCGUGUAGGCGGGUCUUUAAGUCAGGGGUGAAAUGCCAAGGCUCAACCUUGGAACUGCCUUUGAUACUGGAGAUCUUGAGUCCGGGAGAGGUGAGUGGAACUGCGAGUGUAGAGGUGAAAUUCGUAGAUAUUCGCAAGAACACCAGUGGCGAAGGCGGCUCACUGGCCCGGAACUGACGCUGAGACGCGAAAGCGUGGGGAGCAAACAGGAUUAGAUACCCUGGUAGUCCACGCUGUAAACGAUGGAUGCUAGCCGUUGGGGAGCUUGCUCUUCAGUGGCGCAGCUAACGCUUUAAGCAUCCCGCCUGGGGAGUACGGUCGCAAGAUUAAAACUCAAAGGAAUUGACGGGGGCCCGCACAAGCGGUGGAGCAUGUGGUUUAAUUCGAAGCAACGCGCAGAACCUUACCAGCUUUUGACAUGUCCUGGACGGAUUGCAGAGAUGCGAUCUUCCCUUCGGGGCCGGGAACACAGGUGCUGCAUGGCUGUCGUCAGCUCGUGUCGUGAGAUGUUGGGUUAAGUCCCGCAACGAGCGCAACCCUCGCCCUUAGUUGCCAUCAUUCAGUUGGGCACUCCAGGGGGACUGCCGGUGAUAAGCCGGAGGAAGGUGGGGAUGACGUCAAGUCCUCAUGGCCCUUACAGGCUGGGCUACACACGUGCUACAAUGGCGGUGACAGAGGGAUGCGAAGGGGCGACCCCUGGCAAAUCUCAAAAAGCCGUCUCAGUUCGGAUUGCACUCUGCAACUCGAGUGCAUGAAGUUGGAAUCGCUAGUAAUCGCGGAUCAGCACGCCGCGGUGAAUACGUUCCCGGGCCUUGUACACACCGCCCGUCACACCAUGGGAGUUGGUUUUACCCGAAGACGGCGCGCUAACCGCAAGGAGGCAGCCGGCCACGGUAGGGUCAGCGACUGGGGUGAAGUCGUAACAAGGUAGCCGUAGGGGAACCUGCGGCUGGAUCACCUCCUUUCU